UAGGGAAUCUUCGGCAAUGGGGGCAACCCUGACCGAGCAACGCCGCGUGAGUGAAGAAGGUUUUCGGAUCGUAAAGCUCUGUUGUAAGUCAAGAACGAGUGUGAGAGUGGAAAGUUCACACUGUGACGGUAGCUUACCAGAAAGGGACGGCUAACUACGUGCCAGCAGCCGCGGUAAUACGUAGGUCCCGAGCGUUGUCCGGAUUUAUUGGGCGUAAAGCGAGCGCAGGCGGUUUGAUAAGUCUGAAGUUAAAGGCUGUGGCUCAACCAUAGUUCGCUUUGGAAACUGUCAAACUUGAGUGCAGAAGGGGAGAGUGGAAUUCCAUGUGUAGCGGUGAAAUGCGUAGAUAUAUGGAGGAACACCGGUGGCGAAAGCGGCUCUCUGGUCUGUAACUGACGCUGAGGCUCGAAAGCGUGGGGAGCGAACAGGAUUAGAUACCCUGGUAGUCCACGCCGUANCGAUGAGUGCUAGGUGUUGGAUCCUUUCCGGGAUUCAGUGCCGCAGCUAACGCAUUAAGCACUCCCGCCUGGGGGAGUACGACCGCAAGGUUGA
rnacentral:rRNA from 1 species